rnacentral:rRNA from 1 species
AGUGAACGCUGGCGGUAGGCCUAACACAUGCAAGUCGAACGGCAGCACAGUAAGAGCUUGCUCUUACGGGUGGCGAGUGGCGGACGGGUGAGGCAUACAUCGGAAUCUACUUUUUCGUGGGGGAUAACGUAGGGAAACUUACGCUAAUACCGCAUACGACCUACGGGUUAAAGCAGGGGAUCUUCGGACCUUUCGCGAUUGAAUGAGCCGAUGUCGGAUUAGCUAGUUGGCGGGGUAAAGGCCCACCAAGGCGACGAUCCGUAGCUGGUCUGAGAGGAUGAUCAGCCACACUGGAACUGAGACACGGUCCAGACUCCUACGGGAGGCAGCAGUAGGGAAUAUUGGGCAAUGGGCGCAAGCCUGAUCCAGCCAUACCGCGUGGGUGAAGAAGGCCUUCGGGUUGUAAAGCCCUUUUGUUGGGAAAGAAAAGCAGCAGGUUAAUACCCCGAUGUUCUGACGGUACCCAAAGAAUAAGCACCGGCUAACUUCGUG